rnacentral:lncRNA from 1 species
AAUACUGUUCUUUAUUUUCUAGGGUUUUUGGAACAUGCCCUGGCUGUUCCACAGGGAAUCUGAAGAAGGGCGAAGUCGAAAGAGGACAUCUGUUGUACAAUAUACAGGUUUGACAUGAGCCAAGCAAUUGCUACAUACAUAGAGUUAUUAAUUCAAGAAUUCCAAUGCCACAUGAAGUGUGAUUGGAUGAUCACUACUGAAACACAAAUACCAAAAACCACCACCACGAACUGUAGAAAUAAGGCAGCACUUUUGUAAUACUAAAAAUCUCUCCCACCGGCAGUCAUCAGGAAGUAGGAGUAAACAUGUCCAGAGGCUUCUCAGUGUGCAGACUAACUGCAAUUAACACUUUCAAUGUGGAAGUCAACUGUAAACCAACAAUUUCAGGUAAAGUGUUAAAUUAGGUUUAAUCAGGAAAGGAGGUCUAAAACAAGCAAUGGUACAGGAAUGGCAUAUUCCUGCCUAGUGUCAUUAACUGGUGUUAAUAGAAACUGAAGGGCAAGGUGAAAGGAGGGACAGAGAGAGGAUGAGACAGUUUCACAGUGUCUCAAUUUUCACUAUACAGGGACACAAGAAAGAAUUUUAAACAAACAUUGCCAUGAAAAUCAACAUAUUAAGAUACAAACUGCUUAGAAACAUGGGAAUAAAACAUGAGCAUCUGCCACAAAACAAAGGGGUGUAGAGUGCUUUUGUUUUGCAGUACUGGUUCCUACAAUGCUGUUUACAAAAGACACUCUCCACACCCACCCAGCUUACCACAGUCCAUCUGAAAUUUGAGCAGCCUUCAAUAGACCAGGAAUGAAAUAGGAGAAAGAAAACAAACCAAAGGCAACCAAUUUGUUUCCCAUCUCUGUUGUUCUUGGUCAGCUGGGGAAAGGCAACCUUUCCCAAUGAGUUCAGAAAAACGGCAGGCCCCUUCAUUCAUCCCUGUCAAGUCUUCAGCAAAGAAGGUUAGAAAAUGCUAACUACAGGUAAUAAAGCAGAACCACUGAAAUUUAUAAAUCUGGAAAUUCUGAAUUAAAAAAACCUCAAACCUGUACACAAGAGUAAAUAAAAAUCUAUUUAUUGGCAUAUGAGUGAGCCAUUUUGUGCUCAAAAAAUGCACACAAGUGCACAAAUGUAGUGAAACCCUUACACAGACACAGCGAACAACGGCCUGUGGGAGACGUGAAGGAUAAACCCAAAGUCCUACCUCUGCUUUUUCAUUGUGGAAAGCACUCAUACCUUCUUCUUAUUCUGGAAAUUGUUGUUCUUUUCCUUUCUGCCCCUUUCCCUCUCUCCAUAUUUUAAGUUAGAAACUUAAAAGUAGCCAUAUUUCUAACUCUUUCAGUUGAAAGAUAAAUGACAUUCUAUAACCCCCUGUGCUACUAUCCUUUCUGCUUCGCAGCCAAAAUGUAAUAAUGGAGCUCCAGCAGAGGUGUGAAUUGCUUCCAUUCAUUCUCACAAAGUAUUAACUUCACACACUCGUAUUCAUCAUUCCAAAGGCUACCUACUACGACAAUUAGGUAAUAGCCAGGUUAGUUAUGAUAAUGCUCGGGGAUUAAAAACGAUGCAGUGAUUUCCGUAGCAUUACAGGAAUCAACUGUAAAAUUAACACUAUUUCAGGUAUUUUAUUAGUCACAUUUUUUAAGACAAUGCACACAAACCCAACUGCUUGUGUACGCACACAGCACCACAGUGCACAGCAAGACUCACCUUUUUCAGGGAGGAAAGAGAAAAAAAACUCAGCAAAGCUUUGCCAACGUUCUGUACCUUCACAGAAACUGUAAGUCUUGCUGGUUGGAGUUUAAAAUAAAGCAACUGCAGUGAUGUCCUACAAGUAUUACUCAACAGUAAUAUGCAUAUGCUAAAUGAGAAACAACCUCCAUAAAAUUUCUAGUAAAUAUUCCUCCUAAAAUCUAGUGUCUGGAAAGAAAACAAACCAAAACCCAAAACACCCUACAGUUCAUUCACAUGAAUGUAAGGUCUCUGGGUUUCCUAGAAGUUUUGGUUCAGUCAGACAGAAAAUCACUUCCUGAUGUACAGCUGUCAUCGCUUUCUCAAGGUACAUUUUUAUAAGGUAUGUAUUUAGCUUUUUGCACUACUGCCAAGAGAUACCGAGUGACCAAAUCCCUACAGUGUAACGAAACCUGUGAAAAACAGCUUAUUAGAGGGUAGCCACAGGCAGGAAGGCAGCUACAUCUGGUUAUCAAGAGUUAAACAACCUGGGAGAACUGCAAGAGUAAAGGCAAGAUGGGGAGGGAGCCUCAACCAUUAAUAUUCACACAACGCUGAGAAAGUCUGCUCGAUCCCUUGAUCAAAGGAGGCCAGAGACCUCUCCAGUUAGAGGCAUCCCUUAUGUGCACACACACACUUCAACCUGCUGAAGCAAAACUGCUGGACAAAGCAGCGGCUGCUGCUGCCGCUGAAAAAGGCAAUCUUGUCCCUUGAGUGACCUCACUCAAUUAAUUUUUUUUGGCAGGUAACAUAUCACAUCUUGUGGUCAUGUUGGUUUUCUGUUAGUAAAACACGUUUGUCAAAAGCCACUGCCAGUGCCACAGAAGGAGUUGUGAACUUCUGGCCAAGAUUGGACAUGCUGUUUCUGGUACUGACAAACUAUUAGAUGGCUCAUCUUGUGUCAUGGAACCUCUGCUAGAUAAAAGUAACUGCAGUCUUUUCCAGGGACCCUUUUCUUUGGGAUCCUACCAAAAUGUCUGUUAGUUCCCCAGCCUCACCAUGCAGGUCUAUUUCUAUAUUAAACUCCUAAGUAGGAUAUUCCCCAAGCAAAAAGGAUUGCUAAAGCAGUACCAAGCUGCACCACCUGCAUGCCUUCAGGCCAUCUAUCAAAACCAAGAAGUAUCUUAUAGAUCCCGAGAGAACAGAGUGAUCUGUUGGCAUGAGAAAUCCUAGUCUGUCAGCUCAGGAACAGAGGUGACAAUUCCAACCUGCUAUUUGCUGUUCCUCCCUGUUAGUCAAGUGAGGAUCAAGCACAUUCAAUUGCAGUUGGGUUAAAGUUGGCACAUCAGUCAGCAUCUUCCAAAUCCAGUGUUAAUUGAUUAAAAAGGUUAAUAGCACAGAACCACCAGUAAGAAGCUAGAAUGCCAGGGUAUGGGGCACCUCGCCUACCUCAGCAGAUGAAACAUAAGUCAACAUGUUAACAGAACUGUCUCAGCAGAACUCUCUAGCAAUAGUCAACUAAUUUGCUAACUCUGCACCUUAUGGUCAGAAAAACUUCUUUAAAUGUCACCUACUAGCUGCUUUCAUGUUGCAUAAAUGUAUUACUUCACUAUGAUUCACUUGUGUCUUAUUCCACUUCUCAGAUGUGAAAGUGCUAAGAUAACUUAAAAGAAUGACUGCAUCUGGAAAUACUGAAGAUCUUUCCCACUCCCUUAAUCUUACCAUUUGAGGCUGAUUUCUUAACUUUACACAAGCCCUUUCUGUGAAGGCUUAGCUCCCUCCUUAGGGCAUAAAGUCUCUGAAGAGAUUGGGCUAUUUUAAAGACAUCAGAUCCCAUCUGAUAGAAAGAAAUUUUAAAAACCUUACCACGCUAUCAGCUACUGCUUUACUGCUUUUCUACUAAUACAAGGAACUUCUGUGGUGGGUCCUCAAUACUACGUUUAACAGAACCUGGCUAGGUGUCGAACGUUGCAUUCACAUUUCAUUUAGACAAGGAAAAUUAUUAUAAAAGAGUAGAUGGAAGUUUAUAGAGAUCCAAGGUCUCUAUAAAUUAGAGGUUUAUAGAGGUUAGGGUUCCAUAACUAGAGGUUCAAAAUUAGGGUUCCAUAAACAUAAGAUUUCC